AAAGGUGGCUUUGGCUACCAAUUACAGAUGGACCCGCGGCGCAUUAGCUAGUUGGUGAGGUAACGGCUCACCAAGGCGACGAUGCGUAGCCGACCUGAGAGGGUGAUCGGCCACACUGGGAUUGAGACACGGCCCAGACUCAUACGGGAGGCAGCAGUAGGGAAUCUUCCGCAAUGGACGAAAGUCUGACGGAGCAACGCCGCGUGAGUGAAGAAGGUUUUCGGAUCGUAAAACUCUGUUGUUAGGGAAGAACAAGUACCG
rnacentral:rRNA from 1 species